rnacentral:rRNA from 1 species
AUUGAACGCUGGCGGCAGGCUUAACACAUGCAAGUCGAACGGUAGCAGGAGAAAGCUUGCUUUCUUGCUGACGAGUGGCGGACGGGUGAGUAAUGCUUGGGAAUCUGGCUUAUGGAGGGGGAUAACUACGGGAAACUGUAGCUAAUACCGCGUAGAAUCGGGAGAUGAAAGUGCGGGACCGUAAGGCCGCAUGCCAUGAGAUGAGCCCAAGUGGGAUUAGGUAGUUGGUGGGGUAAAGGCCUACCAAGCCUGCGAUCUCUAGCUGGUCUGAGAGGAUGGCCAGCCACACUGGAACUGAGACACGGUCCAGACUCCUACGGGAGGCAGCAGUGGGGAAUAUUGCGCAAUGGGGGGAACCCUGACGCAGCCAUGCCGCGUGAAUGAAGAAGGCCUUCGGGUUGUAAAGUUCUUUCGGUAUUGAGGAAGGAAUGUAUGUUAAUAGCAUACAUUAUUGACGUUAAAUACAGAAGAAGCACCGGCUAACUCCGUGCCAGCAGCCGCGGUAAUACGGAGGGUGCGAGCGUUAAUCGGAAUAACUGGGCGUAAAGGGCACGCAGGCGGUUAUUUAAGUGAGGUGUGAAAGCCCCGGGCUUAACCUGGGAAUUGCAUUUCAGACUGGGUAACUAGAGUACUUUAGGGAGGGGUAGAAUUCCACGUGUAGCGGUGAAAUGCGUAGAGAUGUGGAGGAAUACCGAAGGCGAAGGCAGCCCCUUGGGAAUGUACUGACGCUCAUGUGCGAAAGCGUGGGGAGCAAACAGG